rnacentral:rRNA from 1 species
UUCUGGUUGAUCCUGCCGGACCUGACUGCUAUCGGAUUGAUACUAAGCCAUGCGAGUCUUUGCAGUAAUGCAAGGCAUACGGCUCAGUAACACGUAGUCAACUUACCCUAUGGACGAGGAUAAUCUCGGGAAACUGAGCAUAAUACUCGAUAGAUCAUAAUGCCUGGAAUGGUUUAUGGUUGAAAUGAUUCGUCGCCAUAGGAUGGGACUGCGGCCUAUCAGCUUGUUGGUGAGGUAAUGGCCCACCAAGGCGAUUACAGGUACGGGCUCUGAGAGGAGAAGCCCGGAGAUGGGUACUGAGACAAGGACCCAGGCCCUAUGGGGCGCAGCAGGCGAGAAAACUUUGCAAUGUGCGAAAGCACGACAAGGUUAAUCCGAGUGAUUUCUGCUAAAGAAAUCUUUUGCAAGUCAUAAAACCACUAGUGAAUAAGGGGUGGGCAAGUUCUGGUGUCAGCCGCCGCGGUAAAACCAGCACCUCAAGUGGUCAGGAGGAUUAUUGGGCCUAAAGCAUCCGUAGCCGGCUCUGUAAGUUU